rnacentral:rRNA from 1 species
CAGCCGCCGCGGUAAUACGAAGGGUGCAAGCGUUACUCGGAAUUACUGGGCGUAAAGCGUGCGUAGGUGGUGGUUUAAGUCCGUUGUGAAAGCCCUGGGCUCAACCUGGGAAUUGCAGUGGAUACUGGGUCACUAGAGUGUGGUAGAGGAUAGUGGAAUUUCCGGUGUAGCAGUGAAAUGCGUAGAGAUCGGAAGGAACAUCUGUGGCGAAGGCGACUAUCUGGGCCAACACUGACACUGAGGCACGAAAGCGUGGGGAGCAAACAGGAUUAGAGACCCCCGUAGUCCCUGUCUCUUAUAC